rnacentral:tRNA from 1 species
AGUAAAAUGGCUGAGGGGAAGCGAUAAAUUGUAAAUUUAUUAACGAGAAGAAAAUUUUCUUUUACU